GGGCGUUAAGUUGCAGGGUAUAGACCCGAAACCCGGUGAUCUAGCCAUGGGCAGGUUGAAGGUUGGGUAACACUAACUGGAGGACCGAACCGACUAAUGUUGAAAAAUUAGCGGAUGACCUGUGGCUGGGGGUGAAAGGCCAAUCAAACCGGGAGAUAGCUGGUUCUCCCCGAAAGCUAUUUAGGUAGCGCCUCGUGAAUUCAUCUCCGGGGGUAGAGCACUGUUUCGGCUAGGGGGCCAUCCCGGCUUACCAACCCGAUGCAAACUGCGAAUACCGGAGAAUGUUAUCACGGGAGACACACGGCGGGUGCUAACGUCCGUCGUGAAGAGGGAAACAACCCAGACCGCCAGCUAAGGUCCCAAAGUCAUGGUUAAGUGGGAAACGAUGUGGGAAGGCCCAGACAGCCAGGAUGUUGGCUUAGAAGCAGCCAUCAUUUAAAGAAAGCGUAAUAGCUCACUGGUCGAGUCGGCCUGCGCGGAAGAUGUAACGGGGCUAAACCAUGCACCGAAGCUGCGGCAGCGACACUAUGUGUUGUUGGGUAGGGGAGCGUUCUGUAAGCCUGUGAAGGUGUGUCGUGAGGCAUGCUGGAGGUAUCAGAAGUGCGAAUGCUGACAUAAGUAACGAUAAAGCGGGUGAAAAGCCCGCUCGCCGGAAGACCAAGGGUUCCUGUCCAACGUUAAUCGGGGCAGGGUGAGUCGACCCCUAAGGCGAGGCCGAAAGGCGUAGUCGAUGGGAAACGGGUUAAUAUUCCCGUACUUGGUGUUACUGCGAAGGGGGGACGGAGAAGGCUAUGUUGGCCGGGCGACGGUUGUCCCGGUUUAAGCGUGUAGGUGUGUGUUCCAGGUAAAUCCGGUUCACUUUAACACUGAGGCGUGAUGACGAGGCACUACGGUGCUGAAGCAACAAAUGCCCUGCUUCCAGGAAAAGCCUCUAAGCAUCAGGUAACAUCAAAUCGUACCCCAAACCGACACAGGUGGUCAGGUAGAGAAUACCAAGGCGCUUGAGAGAACUCGGGUGAAGGAACUAGGCAAAAUGGUGCCGUAACUUCGGGAGAAGGCACGCUGACACGUAGGUGAAGUGAUUUACUCACGGAGCUGAAGUCAGUCGAAGAUACCAGCUGGCUGCAACUGUUUAUUAAAAACACAGCACUGUGCAAACACGAAAGUGGACGUAUACGGUGUGACGCCUGCCCGGUGCCGGAAGGUUAAUUGAUGGGGUCAGCGCAAGCGAAGCUCCUGAUCGAAGCCCCGGUAAACGGCGGCCGUAACUAUAACGGUCCUAAGGUAGCGAAAUUCCUUGUCGGGUAAGUUCCGACCUGCACGAAUGGCGUAAUGAUGGCCAGGCUGUCUCCACCCGAGACUCAGUGAAAUUGAACUCGCUGUGAAGAUGCAGUGUACCCGCGGCAAGACGGAAAGACCCCGUGAACCUUUACUAUAGCUUGACACUGAACAUUGAGCCUUGAUGUGUAGGAUAGGUGGGAGGCUUUGAAGUGUGGACGCCAGUCUGCAUGGAGCCGACCUUGAAAUACCACCCUUUAAUGUUUGAUGUUCUAACGUGGACCCGUAAUCCGGGUUGCGGACAGUGUCUGGUGGGUAGUUUGACUGGGGCGGUCUCCUCCUAAAGAGUAACGGAGGAGCACGAAGGUUGGCUAAUCCUGGUCGGACAUCAGGAGGUUAGUGCAAUGGCAUAAGCCAGCUUGACUGCGAGCGUGACGGCGCGAGCAGGUGCGAAAGCAGGUCAUAGUGAUCCGGUGGUUCUGAAUGGAAGGGCCAUCGCUCAACGGAUAAAAGGUACUCCGGGGAUAACAGGCUGAUACCGCCCAAGAGUUCAUAUCGACGGCGGUGUUUGGCACCUCGAUGUCGGCUCAUCACAUCCUGGGGCUGAAGUAGGUCCCAAGGGUAUGGCUGUUCGCCAUUUAAAGUGGUACGCGAGCUGGGUUUAGAACGUCGUGAGACAGUUCGGUCCCUAUCUGCCGUGGGCGCUGGAGAACUGAGGGGGGCUGCUCCUAGUACGAGAGGACCGGAGUGGACGCAUCACUGGUGUUCGGGUUGUCAUGCCAAUGGCACUGCCCGGUAGCUAAAUGCGGAAGAGAUAAGUGCUGAAAGCAUCUAAGCACGAAACUUGCCCCGAGAUGAGUUCUCCCUGAGACUUAGAGUCUCCUGAAGGAACGUUGAAGACGACGACGUUGAUAGGCCGGGUGUGUAAGCGCAGCGAUGCGUUGAGCUAACCGGUACUAAUGAACCGUGAGGCUUAACCUUACAACGCCGAAG
rnacentral:rRNA from 1 species